rnacentral:rRNA from 1 species
AUGUCGAAGCUACAAGGAGAGUAUUAUCUCGUGAGUGUGAGGUUCGUGUUUGAAGGGGAGCCUUGGCGCAGUGGCCAUGAGCUGCACAUAUUAUGCCUCUUGGUGAUGAUCAACCCAUGCUUUCUGCAAAAUUCUUUGACGAAUGUGCAGGAUACCUCGCAGAAUCUGUUUUGCAUAAGUUUUACGUGCUUGGCAUAUUAUUUUCAGCUUGUGGCUGAGGGAGUUGAUCCAAGACAUCAAACAUUUUCCUACUCCUCAAGGUUUAAGAAGCGUAGAAGGUUGGGAAUGUUGGGAACCACAGCUGAGAAAAUAAGCCAUGUACAUCCACAUAUCAUGGAUUCAGAUUCACCUGAAGACGCCCAGGCAGUGUCUGAAGAUGACUUUGUGCAGAGGGAGGAAGAUGAUAUUUCUGCACCAUGUGCUUCUGUUGAUCCUGCUCAAUCAUUACAUGGUAGCAAUCUUUCACCACCCACAGUACUACAGUUUGGGAAGACAAGGAAACUAUCUGCGGAGCGAGCUGAUCCCAGAAACCGGCAACUCCUGCAGAAAUGUCAGUUUUUCCAUUCUCACAGGGCACAGGUUCUUUCUCCUCAGAGGUUGCCAAUGGCACUGGAACAAGUUUUCUCGGACCGUGAUAGUGAAGAUGAAGUUGAUGAUGACAUCGCCGAUUUUGAAGAUAAACGGAUGCUUGAGGAUUUUGUUGACGUCACAGACCAUGAGAAACUUAUUAUGCAUAUGUGGAAUUCAUUUGUUCGGAAACAAAGGGUGCUAGCUGAUGGUCAUAUUCCUUGGGCCUGUGAGGCAUUCUCCCGGCUUCAUGGAAAACAUCUUGUACAGAAUCCUCCUCUACUAUGGAGCUGGCGUUUCCUUAUGAUUAAACUCUGGAACCACAGUCUAUUAGAUGCCCGCACCAUGAAUGUCUGCGGCACAAUUCUUCAAGGCUACCAAAAUGAAAGCUCGGACCCCAAGAAAAUGUGA